GACGAACGCUGGCGGCGUGCCUAACACAUGCAAGUCGAGCGAUGAAGCCCUUCGGGGUGGAUUAGCGGCGGACGGGUGAGUAACACGUGGGUAACCUGCCUCAAAGAGGGGGAUAGCCUCCCGAAAGGGAGAUUAAUACCGCAUAAUAUUAGUUUUUCGCAUGAAGAACUAAUUAAAGGAGCAAUCCGCUUUGAGAUGGACCCGCGGCGCAUUAGCUAGUUGGUGAGGUAAAGGCUCACCAAGGCGACGAUGCGUAGCCGACCUGAGAGGGUGAUCGGCCACAUUGGAACUGGGACACGGUCCAGACUCCUACGGGAGGCAGCAGUGGGGAAUAUUGCACAAUGGGCGAAAGCCUGAUGCAGCAACGCCGCGUGAGUGAUGAAGGCCUUCGGGUUGUAAAGCUCUGUCUUUUGGGACGAUUAUGACGGUACCAAAGGAGGAAGCCACGGCUAACUACGUGCCAGCCGCCGCCGUAACAC
rnacentral:rRNA from 1 species